GACGAACGCUGGCGGCAUGCCUAAUACAUGCAAGUCGAGCGAACAGAUGAAGUGCUUGCACUUCUGACGUUAGCGGCGAACGGGUGAGUAACACGUAAGGAAUCUACCUAUAAGCGGGGGAUAACAUUCGGAAACGGGUGCUAAUACCGCAUAAUAUCUUCUUCCGCAUGGAAGAAGAUUGAAAGACGGCUCUGCUGUCACUUAUAGAUGACCUUGCGGUGCAUUAGUUAGUUGGUGGGGUAACGGCCUACCAAGGCGAUGAUGCAUAGCCGACCUCGGAGGGUGAUCGGCCACAUUGGGACUGAGACACGGCACAAACUCCUACGGGAGGCAGCAGUAGGGAAUCUGCCGCAAUGGGCGAAAGCCUGACGGAGCAAUGCCGCGUGAGUGAAGAAGGCCUUCGGGUCGUAAAACUCUGUUAUAAGAGAAGAACAAAUUGUAGAGUAACUGCUACAGUCUUGACGGUAUCUUAUCAGAAAGCCACGGCUAACUACGUGCCAGCCGCCGCGGUAA
rnacentral:rRNA from 1 species